rnacentral:lncRNA from 1 species
GAUGAGGAUGUGUGCUGCCAGUCCUUCCCUCUGUGCUUCUCCUCAAGACAAUCCCGGAAUUUCCCCCAAACCCAAUGGAUUUUAAAUUCUGACCCCAUGGCUUCCAUGAACAGAGGACAGGUAUGACCCAAGAGGAGCCAAGCAGGCAAACAAACUACUAAAUGAGGUCCAUUUUCAUGUUUUAAUCAAAGGGCCAAAAGCAGGUGAAAGAGGCAGGGGGCAAAAACAUGAUUCUCAUAUAUUACGUAAUGAAGAUGAAUCAUAUUGAAGAUGAAUCUCAAGGAAGACCAAAGAUGCAGUAUAUGAACAGGGUAAGAUCUAGUCUAUCCAUAACUUAGAAAGCAACAAGCAACAAGAUGUCCGUAUAUCCAAUGUUCACACCCAAUCAACAAAAUAAAUACUCAAAACCAUCAAAGAAUCAUCAAGAAUAGAAUAAGAUGAAGCAUAGGAAAUAGCUGAAAACGCACCUGGGCAGUCUUGGCUGCAAUGGCUCGGCUUCUGGCUAUCUUUCCUCUUCCUUCUGAAGACAAUUCCCAGAUAAAAAUCCUCUUUUGCUUGUUCUUUCUUCCUCCUCCUCCCUCUCUAAAAAAAA